rnacentral:rRNA from 1 species
AAUGAACGUUGGCGGCAUGGAUUAGGCAUGCAAGUCGAGCGCGAAGAGUCAUUUGCUUGCAUUUGACUCUGAAAGCGGCGUAAGGGUGAGUAACGCGUAGUUACCUACCUCCGGGUCAGGAAUAGCUGCGGGAAACUGCAGGUAAUGCCGGAUAACAUCUCAGGAUCAAAGGUGAGAUUCCGCCCGGAGAGGGGACUGCGUCCUACUAGCUUGUUGGUGGGGUAAUGGCCUACCAAGGCUUCGAUGGGUAGCGGGCGUGAGAGCGUGGCCCGUCACACUGGGACUGAGACACUGCCCAGACACCUACGGGUGGCUGCAGUCGAGAAUCUUCGGCAAUGGGCGAAAGCCUGACCGAGCAAUGCCGCGUGCGGGAUGAAGGCCCUCGGGUUGUAAACCGCGAAAGUAAGGAGGAAGGACCUGCGAAGAGCAGGUUUUGACCGAUCUACAGUAAGGACGGGCUAAGUUCGUGC